rnacentral:lncRNA from 10 species
AGAGGUUACAAGAAUUCUGACACUCAUCACAGUGGAUCCAAUAUCUGGUCCCUUGGGUUUCAUAUAUGUUAGAAGUAUCUUCUCAGGAGGGAAAAGUCAAUGCCAGUCAUAUCCUUUCUAGCUAUUAGAAAUGUCCAUCAGCUUACGAGGAGAUUCUCCCUCAUCUCACAAACUACCUGCAUCUCCACUUCCCUGGAAGAAAAAAAAAAUCUGGACAUACCCAAGCUGUGUAUGUGCCUGAGAUCUUCCCUUCCAAGUUGUUUGUUUUCUGGUCUUCCUGAAAACCAAGAUGCUGUGCGAAAAACCCUGGAUUGGGAACCAGAAGAGUUGAGUGCUCAUCCUGAUCCUUCCCAGGAGUGAUACUAAACUUGU